AUCCUUCACUGAUUUUAACUAUAACUCUCUCCUCUUCAGGGUCUCCCUGGUCCUAAAGGAAGUCAGGGCCUAGCAGGACCAAAGGGAGAUAAGGGUGACCAGGGAGACACAGGGCCCAGGGUAAGUCUCGCUCCGCCUUUUCUUCUCAGCCUCUCCCAUCUGGAACACAGGGAAGGUUACGUGUAUAUGCAUGCAAUGAAAUGUACAGUGGUUCUCAAAGGUGUUCACCCCCCUUGGACCUUUCCACAUUUUAUUAUGUUACAGAAUGAAAUCAAAAUUGAUUUAAUUAGGUGUUUUUUGCCACGGAUCAACACAAAAACGUCCAUCUGAAAGUUCAUGAUUGAUCGCAAAUAGUGGUUGUAUAAGUAUUCGCCCCCUUUGCUAUGACACACCUGAAUGACCUGAACCAGCUGUCUACAGAAGUAAUGUAAUUAGUGGAAUGGAGUCCACCUGUGUGCAACUGAGAAAUGUGUGCCUGAGAAGCUUGUGAAGACAGAGGGCAAAAUGGAUGCAGCAAAGUACUGGGAAAUCCAAGAAGAAACCCUGCUGAAGUCUGCAAAAGACCUGGGACUCGGGAGAAGAUUCAUCCUCCAGCAGAAAACUGACCCAAAACAUACAGUCAAAGCCACACUGAAGUAACUUAAAAACUAAAAUGUCACUAUCCUGGAAUAGACCUCAAGCCAAAUAUUAAUAUGUGGAAAGAGUUGAAAAUUGCUGUUCACCGAAGGUCCCAUCCUACUUCAUGGAGCUU
rnacentral:lncRNA from 1 species